CCUGGAGCCCGUGAAUCCAAGCCUGUGCUCUCGCUCCCGCCCGUGGAUUGCGUGAAAAUCAAUAGAGCACCACCCAGCUCGUGUUGGAAGGGACGCUCAGACAUCUCCGCCCACGGCAUUUUCCCUCUAGGAGGAAAAUACCCGACCUAGGCGCACCCAAAACGUUCCCUACAGUUGCAGGGGGGUUCUGGUUUCCCAAACCGCGGGACUCACGAAUCUCAAGAACAGCUGGCAGAAAGGACUGUCUGCUUGGGGGAAGGGGAGAGACCAACGCGGAGAGCCGUGGAGCUGCUUGUGGCCCCAGCCUUGGGUCACCCAGGACGCCCUUUCCGGAGCCGAGUUAAGGUCGCGGACCCUGAGUCUCUCUUUGUCGCCCAGGCUGGAGUGCAGUGGCGUGAUCUCGGCUCACUGCAACCUUCGCCUCCUGGGUUCAAGUGAUUCACCUGCCUCAGCCACCUGAGUAGCUGGGACUACAGGCGCCUGCCACCACGCCCGGCUAAUUUUUGUAAUUUUAGUGGAAACGGGGUUUCGUCAUGUUAUCCAGGCUGGUCUGGAUCUCCUGACCUCAGGUGAUCCGCCCACCUCGGCCUCCCAAAGUGCUGGGAUAACAGGCAAGAACCACCGCGGCCGGCCUAAAGCUCAGGAGUUUUAUUGUGUUUUCUUUCCCAAGCUGUAUGAAAAGUCCAACAGCACUGUUCUGUCGUUCUUUGCCUUCUUAUAUGUGACCUUUUCCCCUCUGGGGGCUUAUAAAUAUUCAUCUUGUCUUAUAAAUCCUCAGUGAAGGCAAUGAGUAUUUUUAUUUCCGUUUUACCAUUAGGGAUACUGGUUGGGGGAAGAUGAAUGACUUGCCCAAGGUCAUAUAGUAAAUCAGGACACAGACAAGAUCAAGCUUGCCCUGUCAAAGUGCUUCCCUGACAGGCAGCAGUGAUCCUCCUUUAUUUAUGUGCAAAGUACUCUCCAAUUAGGAAAUUAAGCAUCCUGGUGCUCUCUUUGGAAGGGAAGCCUUUUAUAAAUUCAUCACUUGUUAAUCAGUCAUAAAUAAAACCUACUCACUUUUGACCUCUAGAGGAAACCUGCUAUCUGGAGAUUUCACUAAUCCGAGCUAUGGAGACUUUUUUUCCCCCAGGUUUCCCUUCUAUUUCUCUUGUACAUUUCUAUACUUACUCGAGUCCUCUUUGGGUGAACCAUUGACGCACUGUAUCUUUCCAUUGCUUGCCUUAGCAUAUUGAACCUCUUAAUAGAUUUCAGGCUACUAUGCUAAAAUGUGUCUAUCUCUGUGGAGACUAAAGGCUAAAGUUCAAAGUGACACUGGCAAGAAUGAUUGGCUAAUUUUAAGAUUUAGAACUGUAGCCUUUUAGAGCUAGAGGCCACUGGAGAUCAUACCCAGCAUCUAGAUCUGCAUGGAGGAAGCCAAGGCCCAGAGAGGUCAAGUUCCUUACCUAAAGUUACACAGCUAGUUUGUGACACAACUGGGACAAGAACCCAGAUCUGCUUCCUCACAUUGCUCUUUGCAAUGUACUGCAUUACCUCAUUUUUGCUGCAAGCCCUUGGCCACUGUCAAAAUCAUUCAUUUACUCAUCAAAUGUUUAUUAAGUAGGCACUUCAGUGCCAGGCACUGAAGCAAAAAAAGAAGAGUUUUCCUUCAUUAAUUGGAACAGGAGACUUCAGCAUUUUAAAUAUGUAGAGA
ensembl:lncRNA